rnacentral:rRNA from 1 species
AAUAGCAAUCAGCGUCAGUACCAAUGUAAUAAAUUACAACUUUCAACAACGGAUCUCUUGGUUCUGGCAUCGAUGAAGAACGCAGCGAAAUGCGAUACGUAGUGUGAAUUGCAGAAUUCAGUGAAUCAUCGAAUCUUUGAACGCACAUUGCGCCCUUUGGUAUUCCAAAGGGCAUGCCUGUUCGAGCGUCAUUUGUACCCUCAAGCUUUGCUUGGUGUUGGGCGUCUUGUCUCCCCGUUUGCGGGAGACUCGCCUUAAAGUCAUUGGCAGCCGGCCUACUGGUUUCGGAGCGCAGCACAAGUCGCGCUCUCUUCCAGCCAAGGUCAGCGUCCAGUAAGCCUUUUUUCAACCUUUGACCUCGGAUCAGGUAGGGAUACCCGCUGAACUUAAGCAUAUCAAUAAGCGGAGGAAAAGAAACCAACAGGGAUUGCCCUAGUAACGGCGAGUGAAGCGGCAACAGCUCAAAUCUUGAAAUCUGGCUCUAUUA